rnacentral:rRNA from 1 species
UCUGGCUUUAGGUCUGGGACAACCACUGGAAACGGUGGCUAAUACCGGAUGUGCCUUUAGGGGUGAAAGGUUAACUGCCUGAAGAUGAGCUCGCGUCUGAUUAGCUAGUUGGAAGUGUAAUGGACUCCCAAGGCGACGAUCAGUAGCUGGUCUGAGAGGACGAUCAGCCACACUGGGACUGAGACACGGCCCAGACUCCUACGGGAGGCAGCAGUGGGGAAUUUUCCGCAAUGGGCGAAAGCCUGACGGAGCAAUACCGCGUGAGGGAGGAAGGCUCUUGGGUCGUAAACCUCUUUUCUCAGGGAAGAACACAAUGACGGUACCUGAGGAAUAAGCAUCGGCUAACUCCGUGCCAGCAGCCGCGGUAAUACGGAGGAUGCAAGCGUUAUCCGGAAUGAUUGGGCGUAAAGCGUCCGCAGGUGGCAAUGUAAGUCUGCUGUUAAAGAGUCUAGCUCAACUAGAUACAAGCAGUGGAACUACAUAGCUAGAGUACGUUCGGGGCAGAGGGAAUUCCUGGUGUAGCGGUGAAAUGCGUAGAGAUCAGGAAGAACACCAGUGGCGAAGGCGCUCUGCUAGGCCGUAACUGACACUGAGGACCGAGAGC